AAGGCAGGGACUGCAACUCUGUUCCUCUCUGUCCCCAUCGCCCAACAUGAAGCCUGAGCACAGCGGAUAUUUACUAAAUGAAUGGAGCUCUCCUGUCUAAAAGAGGAGUGAAAGAAAUUACAUCCAUGCAAACUGACUCACACUGCAGCUGCUGUCUGCAAGGAAAAAAAGGUGGAAAAAUAAGGCGCUGUCACUGAGCACUAAUAAGCUCAAUGGGAAAGAGUGAUAUCUUCCCUUGCAGAGCUUCUUAACAAUCUAGAAGAGCUGCCAGGAACCUAAGAGGGAGAAGAGAACAUAAGCAACCCUACAAAAUCCAAAAGAGCCUAAAAUACUGUGCCCACUUACGUUAUCAAGAGAAUGACAGAAAUCGGCCAACCUUUAGGCAGUGAGAUUCAAGAGCUGCCUAGAAGGUCCCAG
rnacentral:lncRNA from 1 species